rnacentral:lncRNA from 1 species
CCAGGCACUCUCUCGCGAGAGGGCGGGAGAGCCGCUUCGACGCUGGCGUGGGCCCGACGGGGACGUGUGAGGUCUCCGGAAGGUCCGGCGCUGGCCUUGGCUUCCCGUUUGGGCUCCCUGGACUUGGAAGUGGAGGCGGGUCCCCUCGGCUUGCAGCUGGGGGCCGAUUCCGCGUUCCCUGCUCCCUCCGGACUCUCGGGAUGGCAGGAGAUGAGACAGCGACCGGGGCUGAGGGGCGCUAGGCGCCGCCAGAAGCCCGCGCCUUGGGCCUGGGAAACUCUUAGAGGCGAGCUCCGGCCGCGCGGAACUUGGGUCUUGGCAGGAGCAGGGCUGUCAGUGAGCAGGCGGGAGUUCAAGGCCGCCUGCCGCCUUCGCGCGGAGAAUUUCAUUAGGCGCCGAAGCAAUGUUCCGAUAUCCGCGGGAUUCAGGUGCCCAAGGCCCGCGUCCAGAAGAUCACAGGGGGGCCGCCUGGUGGCAUUGAACCCAGGAGCUGGUACUAGAUGGCCUCUCUCAUGAGAGUAUAUAACCUACUGUGCCCAAGUUACGUCCUCGUGUCUGGGUGACGAUGAUGUAGCCGUUGAAUAUUACGGAGCACACAGAGUUGUCUUUAGCCAUAUAUCUCAGGAAAAUAUUAAUAGACGAGAUCACCCAGCCUUAAAGAGGAUUCUCCGGACCACUGAGAGUUUUCCGAGGAAACCUACCAUACACUGAGUCAUAGAAUGGUUCCAAAAUGUCCAAAAAUAUUGCUUUUUGUGAGGAGUUUUGUUUUCUGAUAACAAGACUGGAGUUUGGGGGUGUUUUGUUUUCUGUUUGAGCGCAUAGUUUGCAAAUUCAAGGACUAUGGCGAGGAAGACAUGGCAUGCCUUAAAUAGUAUGAGGGGAACAACAGAGAACCAAAAGCCCUAGGAAAGGAAAUAAACUGCUCAUUUCAGUCCAUAAAAUGAAAAUGUGGUCAGAGCAAAUUAGUAGUAAAAGCUGAGUAUGCCGAGCUGCAGCAAUUUGCAAAAGCCUUUAAUAGACAAUCAUUUCUGUUGCGGUAGAAAAACUUUAUACAGUUACUGAUAUACCAAGUUAUGUUAGCCAGGGGAAAGAAGGUUACGCACCUGGUUGAAUGUGUGUUCCAGAUAAAUCAUCCCAGAGACUUUUAGAGAGCCUUGGAAAUAUUCCUCUAAUCUACUCUACUUAUCCCAUUUAAAGGAUAGCAUCUGAAGAUUUAAUAACAAAAAACAGUUGAAGAAUUCAAAGCUGGAUAAUCAGAACCUCCAGGUUUGACUCUUGAAGAAGAUGCUACUGUUGGGAAGAGUGGAUGGAUUAUGCAGCCCUGUUUUCUGAGAAUUCAUUUGUUCUUGGAGUUUUUCACUGCUUGCCGCCACUACCACUUGGCCUCAAAGGACAAGCAUGUAACCCUUCCUUUCCUUCAUAUUUUACUGCACAGCUGAGAAGAGACUGAAUUUGGAUCCUUUAGUGGUACAACUGGAAUGUUACAUAGUUUAGAGUAAGAUGGCUUAUUUAAAAGUAUUUUUCUAAGAUGGGGGGUGUUGGGAUGUCCCUGUAGAUUAGUUCCAGAAUGGGGUGUCUGUAUAUACUGUAUUAAUAGGCAUGUUGACUCUUGUAAAGGGACAUUAGUAGCUGCUGCAGGUCCUGUUUGGAAAACUCAUGCACAAUUCCCGGUUUUUUGUAAAGUGUCAGUGCGGGAGACAUUUGACUCUUGUGUUUGUAUCUCCUUUUUAUGAUUGCUGUACUGACCCAUGUCUUUUUGAGGAAGGGGUGAAAAGAGAUUUGAAAUAAAAAUGUUUAGAAAUUUAAAAAAAAAAGUAUUUUUCUAAUAGGAGAUAGAAACUGGAUAUUAACAAAAUAAGGGUACUCUUAUGUACAAAAUACAACUACUUACGGU